rnacentral:rRNA from 1 species
AGCUCCAAUAGCGUAUAUUAAUGUUGUUGCAGUUAAAAAGCUCGUAGUUGGAUUUCUGGUGGGAGCGGUUGGUCUGCCCCGCGAGGGGUAGUUACUGAGCCGUAUCCGGCCCUUUUCGGGUUGACCGUGGCUGGCAUUAAUUUGUCGGUGCGGGAGGCCCGUCGUUUACUGUGAACAAAUUAGAGUGUUCAAAGCAGGGUGUUCUUGAAUACAUUAGCAUGGAAUAAUGAGAUAGGACUUUGGUGGUUCUCACUUGAUUGUGGGAUAUUUUGUUGGUUUGCACGCCAAAGUAAUGAUUAAUAGGAGCAGUUGGGGGUAUUCGUAUUCAAUUGUCAGAGGUGAAAUUCUUGGAUUUCUAGAAGACGAACUACUGCGAAAGCAUUUACCAAGGAUGUUUUCA